AUUGAACGCUGGCGGCAUGCCUUACACAUGCAAGUCGAACGGCAGCAUGGAGGAGCUUGCUCCUCUGAUGGCGAGUGGCGAACGGGUGAGUAAAGCAUCGGAACGUGCCGUGUAGUGGGGGAUAACGUAGCGAAAGUUACGCUAAUACCGCAUACGCACCGAGGUGGAAAGCAGGGGAUCGCAAGACCUUGCGCUAUACGAGCGGCCGAUGUCAGAUUAGCUAGUUGGUAGGGUAAAGGCCUACCAAGGCGACGAUCUGUAGCGGGUCUGAGAGGAUGAUCCGCCACACUGGGACUGAGACACGGCCCAGACUCCUACGGGAGGCAGCAGUGGGGAAUUUUGGACAAUGGGGGAAACCCUGAUCCAGCCAUGCCGCGUGAGUGAAGAAGGCCUCGGGUUGUAAGCUCUUCGGCUGGGAGCGUCACUGACGGUACCGUAAGAAUAAGCACCGGCUAACUACGUG
rnacentral:rRNA from 1 species